UAAACUCAGAAACUCAUUAAUGAGUAAAAAAGUACUCAUUCUGAGUUCAUGUAUGUAGCUGCCAGAAAAUGGGGAAAAUUUGACAACUUCAAAUGUGUAAAAAAACACCCAUUUUGAGAAUGUUGUUUCGGUUACAAAAUGAUUAUCUUUUACUCCUAAAUGGGUGAAAAAAUACUUAGGGGGUAAAUCCGAGCCCAUUAGAAAAUAAAGUGUUUUUACGCGUUAUAUUCCCCGUUAUAAUCUAUAUAUUUAAUUCAUUUUGAGUUGCUAGAACUUAAUAUUACGACCGUUAAAGACAUGGAGGAGUUAGUACGUGCAAAACAUCCAGAAGCCUCGGGAGCAACAUGAUGGUAACAUGGAACAACAUUAUAGUUCAGCACGGAGCCUAUUAUCACAUUUUCUACGAAAACCAAGGGGAAUGACAAGUUUUUCCAAGUCGAAACAUCCAGAAAAAAAGGCGGCACAUUCCACAAAAAAGACAACAAAACCCGCAUAAGAAAUGCCGCGAUUCUGUUCUGGAUUUUUAGACUUGGAAAAACUUGUGUAGUUGCCUUUGUCAAAAAUAUAUUUUAAUGUAAAUAUCCUUAAACAUUCUUCAUAUAAAUAAAUGUAUUUUUAAUGUUCA